GUGGGGAAUAUUGGACAAUGGGCGAAAGCCUGAUCCAGCCAUGCCGCGUGUGUGAAGAAGGUCUUCGGAUUGUAAAGCACUUUAAGUUGGGAGGAAGGGCAGUAAGUUAAUACCUUGCUGUUUUGACGUUACCGACAGAAUAAGCACCGGCUAACUUCGUGCCAGCAGCCGCGGUAAUACGAAGGGUGCAAGCGUUAAUCGGAAUUACUGGGCGUAAAGCGCGCGUAGGUGGUUUUGUAAGUUGGAGGUGAAAUCCCCGGGCGCAACCUGGGAACUGCCUCCAAAACUGCAUGACUAGAGUACGGUAGAGGGUAGUGGAAUUUCCUGUGUAGCGGUGAAAUGCGUAGAUAUAGGAAGGAACACCAGUGGCGAAGGCGACUACCUGGACUGAUACUGACACUGAGGUGCGAAAGCGUGGGGAGCAAACAGGAUUAGAAACCCGUGUAGUCC
rnacentral:rRNA from 1 species